GUGGGGAAUAUUGGACAAUGGGGGCAACCCUGAUCCAGCCAUGCCGCGUGAAUGAUGAAGGCCUUCGGGUUGUAAAGUUCUUUUGGAGGGGACGAUGAUGACGGUACCCUCAGAAGAAGCCCCGGCUAACUCCGUGCCAGCAGCCGCGGUAAUACGGAGGGAGCUAGCGUUGUUCGGAAUUACUGGGCGUAAAGCGCACGUAGGCGGUUACUCAAGUCAGAGGUGAAAGCCCGGGGCUCAACCCCGGAACUGCCUUUGAUACUGGGUGUCUUGAGUGUGAGAGAGGUGAGUGGAACUCCGAGUGUAGAGGUGAAAUUCGUAGAUAUUCGGAAGAACACCAGUGGCGAAGGCGACUCACUGGCUCAUUACUGACGCUGAGGCUCGAAAGCGUGGGGAGCAAACAGGAUUAGAUACCCGGGUAGUCC
rnacentral:rRNA from 1 species